rnacentral:rRNA from 1 species
GACGAACGCUGGCGGCGUGCUUAACACAUGCAAGUCGAACGAUGAAGCUAGAGCUUGCCCUGGUGAAUUAGUGGCGAACGGGUGAGUAAUACAUCGGAACGUACCUUAUCGUGGGGGAUAACGCAGCGAAAGUUGCGCCAAUACCGCAUAAUCCCUAAGGGGGAAAGCGGGGGUCCGGAAGGACUCGCGCAAUUGGAGCGGCCGAUACCUGAUUAAGUAGUUGGUGGGGUAAAGGCUCACCAAGGCAACGAUCAGUAGCUGGUCUGAGAGGACGAUCAGCCACACUGGGACUGGGACACGGCACAGACUCCUACGGGAGGCAGCAGUGGGGAAUUUUGGACAAUGGGGGCAACCCUGAUCCAGCAAUGCCGCGUGAGUGAAGAAGGCCUUCGGGUUGUAAAGCUCUUUUGUCAGGGAAGAAACAGCAGCUCUAACACAGUUUGCGAAUGACGGUACCUGAAGAAUAAGCACCGGCUAACUACGUGCCAGCCGCCGCGGUAA